AGAGUUUGAUCCUGGCUCAGGAUGAACGCUGGCGGCGCGCCUAAUACAUGCAAGUCGAACGAAACCUCUUUAUCACCGAGUGCUUGCACUCACCGAUAAAGAGUUGAGUGGCGAACGGGUGAGUAACACGUGGGCAACCUGCCCAAAAGAGGGGGAUAACACUUGGAAACAGGUGCUAAUACCGCAUAACCAUAGUUACCGCAUGGUAACUAUGUAAAAGGUGGCUAUGCUACUGCUUUUGGAUGGGCCCGCGGCGCAUUAGCUAGUUGGUGAGGUAAAGGCUUACCAAGGCAAUGAUGCGUAGCCGAACUGAGAGGUUGAUCGGCCACAUUGGGACUGAGACACGGCCCAAACUCCUACGGGAGGCAGCAGUAGGGAAUCUUCCACAAUGGGCGAAAGCCUGAUGGAGCAACGCCGCGUGGGUGAAGAAGGUCUUCGGAUCGUAAAACCCUGUUGUUAGAGAAGAAAGUGCGUGAGAGUAACUGUUCACGUUUCGACGGUAUCUAACCAGAAAGCCACGGCUAACUACGUGCCAGCAGCCGCGGUAAUACGUAGGUGGCAAGCGUUAUCCGGAUUUAUUGGGCGUAAAGGGAACGCAGGCGGUCUUUUAAGUCUGAUGUGGAAGCCUUCGGCUUAACCGGAGUAGUGCAUUGGAAACUGGGAGACUUGAGUGCAGAAGAGGAGAGUGGAACUCCAUGUGUAGCGGUGAAAUGCGUAGAUAUAUGGAAGAACACCAGUGGCGAAAGCGGCUCUCUGGUCUGUAACUGACGCUGAGGUUCGAAAGCGUGGGUAGCAAACAGGAUUAGAUACCCUGGUAGUCCACGCCGUAAACGAUGAAUGCUAAGUGUUGGAGGGUUUCCGCCCCUCAGUACUGCAACUAACGCAAUAAGCAAUCCGCCUGGGGGGUACGUCCGCAAAGGUUGAAACUCAAAGGAAUUGACGGGGGCCCGCACAAGCGGUGGAGCAUGUGGGUUUAAUUUGAAGCAACGCGAAGAACCUUCCCAGGUCUUGACAUCUUCUGACAAUCCUAGAGAUAGGACUUUCCCUUCGGGGACAGAAUGACAGGUGGUGCAUGGUUGUCGUCAGCUCGUGUCGUGAGAUGUUGGGUUAAGUCCCGCAACGAGCGCAACCCUUAUUGUUAGUUGCCAGCAUUAAGUUGGGCACUCUAGCAAGACUGCCGGUGACAAACCGGAGGAAGGUGGGGAUGACGUCAAAUCAUCAUGCCCCUUAUGACCUGGGCUACACACGUGCUACAAUGGACGGUACAACGAGUCGCAAGACCGCGAGGUUUAGCAAAUCUCUUAAAGCCGUUCUCAGUUCGGAUUGUAGGCUGCAACUCGCCUACGUGAAGUCGGAAUCGCUAGUAAUCGCGGAUCAGCAUGCCGCGGUGAAUACGUUCCCGGGCCUUGCACUCACCGCCCGUCA
rnacentral:rRNA from 1 species